rnacentral:rRNA from 1 species
AUUGUUCACAAUGGGCGCAAGCCUGAUCCAGCAAUGCCGCGUGAGUGAUGAAGGCCUUAGGGUUGUAAAGCUCUUUUACCCGGGAAGAUAAUGACUGUACCGGGAGAAUAAGCCCCGGCUAACUCCGUGCCAGCAGCCGCGGUAAUACGUAGGGGGCAAGCGUUGUCCGGACUUACUGGGCGUAAAGCGCGCGCAGGUGGUGGCGGAUGUGCCGUGUGAAAGCGCCGACCAAACGCGGCGAGGCCACGGUAGACACCGUCACUCGAGCCUCGGAGAGGCCGGUGGAAUUCCGGGUGGAGCGGUGAAAUGCGUAGAGAUCCGGAGGAACACCUGAGGCGAAAGCGGCCGGCUGGCCGAGUGCUGACACUGAGGCGCGAAAGCGUGGGGAGCGAAC